rnacentral:rRNA from 1 species
GGACCCAAGCGUUAUCCGGAAUUACUGGGCGUAAAGAGUUGCGUAGGCGGCUUUGUAAGUUAGAGGUGAAAGCCCGGAGCUCAACUCCGGAACUGCCUUUAAGACUGCAUCGCUAGAACGUCGGAGAGGUAAGUGGAAUUCCGAGUGUAGAGGUGAAAUUCGUAGAUAUUCGGAAGAACACCAGUGGCGAAGGCGACUUACUGGACGACUGUUGACGCUGAGGUGCGAAAGCGUGGGGAGCA